CCUACGGGUGGCUGCAGUGGGGAAUAUUGGACAAUGGGGGGAACCCUGAUCCAGCCAUGCCGCGUGUGUGAAGAAGGCCCUCGGGUUGUAAAGCACUUUCAGUGAGGAAGAACGCCUGGUGGUUAAUACCCAUCAGGAAAGACAUCACUCACAGAAGAAGCACCGGCUAACUCCGUGCCAGCAGCCGCGGUAAUACGGAGGGUGCGAGCGUUAAUCGGAAUUACUGGGCGUAAAGCGCGCGUAGGUGGCUUGAUAAGCCGGUUGUGAAAGCCCCGGGCUCAACCUGGGAACGGCAUCCGGAACUGUCAAGCUCGAGUGCAGGAGAGGAAGGUAGAAUUCCCGGUGUAGCGGUGAAAUGCGUAGAGAUCGGGAGGAAUACCAGUGGCGAAGGCGGCCUUCUGGACUGACACUGACACUGAGGUGCGAAAGCGUGGGUAGCAAACAGGAUUAGAUACCCUUGUAGUC
rnacentral:rRNA from 1 species